GUGCUCACUAAAGCAGCACUAUAUACUAAAAAUUGGAACAAUUCAGUGAAGAUUAGUCUGGCCCCAUACAAGGGUGACAUGUGAAUCUGUGAAGCAGUUCCAUAUAUUU